GACGAACGCUGGCGGCGUGCUUAACACAUGCAAGUCGAACGGAAAGGCCCUGCUUUUGUGGGGUGCUCGAGUGGCGAACGGGUGAGUAGCACGUGAGUAACCUGCCCUUGACUUUGGGAUAACUUCAGGAAACUGGGGCUAAUACCGGAUAGGAGCUCCUGCUGCAUGGUGGGGGUUGGAAAGUUUCGGCGGUUGGGGAUGGACUCGCGGCUUAUCAGCUUGUUGGUGGGGUAGUGGCUUACCAAGGCUUUGACGGGUAGCCGGCCUGAGAGGGUGACCGGCCACAUUGGGACUGAGAUACGGCCCAGACUCCUACGGGAGGCAGCAGUGGGGAAUAUUGCACAAUGGGCGGAAGCCUGAUGCAGCAACGCCGCGUGCGGGAUGACGGCCUUCGGGUUGUAAACCGCUUUCGCCUGUGACGGAGCGUGAGUGACGGUAAUGGGUAAAGAAGCACCGGCUAACUACGUG
rnacentral:rRNA from 1 species